CCCUCGGAAGGUUUGGAAUAGUUGGUUUUUUAAACAGAGAGUAUUAGACCUCCGGCCCUUCCAGACUUUUGAAACUGGCAGUUGACCUUUCAUGUAAGGCCGGCUUUCAGAAAGAUAAAACCGCAAAAGGCCACUGUGGAGUAACAGAAAAAAAAAAUCUUAACUCAUUAAAACCGUCAGCAACUCAUACUUUAAUUUUUCAUACACAAAAAUAAAAUGGUGCUUCGGGUACAGCCUACACUUUUUGUUUCGUUGUGCCCUUAGGGUCUACAAAGUGUGCAGUACACACAAAUUAGGGUUCUACCUAAGGACCUCGCCCGCGUCCAACAAGGUGUGUUAAUAUAUCACUAGGCUACAUUCCCAGUUCUUGGUAGUGUUUUCUUUGUUUGGCUUAAUUUGAAAGGGUCUUCCAGAGCCACUGUUUAUAUUUUUGAGAAAGGGUCUUAUAUAGCUCAGGCUAGUCUCACACUUCUAGUUUUGUGCCCACCUCUCAGGACUGAGACUGUAGACCUCGGCUACCAUAUAACUUCACCAACCGAACAGGCAGUAUUUUGAAUUGGAAAAAAAUCAUAAAUAAUAGCAAUAAUAUUUGGGGUCACAUAAUUGUUUCUUUUGUUCCAUAAAAAGUACUAGGGUUUAUUUUUUAUUAUUUGUUCAUUUUAGUCUGCCAUAUAGCCUAAGUUUAUAUGUAUAUAAUAUAUCUUGAUAUAUAUAUGUGUGUGUGUGUGUCUGUAUAUAUGUAUAUAUAUAUAUAUAUAUAUCUUGAUAUAUAUGUGUGUGUGUGUCUGUAUAUAUGUAUAUAUAUAUAUACAUAUAUAUCUUGAGAUAUGUGUGUGUGUGUGUGUGUGUGUGUGUGUGUGUGUAGUUGAAGCUGGAGUUAGGGAUGGUUAUGAGCAUCAUGUGCUAGCAACCAAACCUAGAUCCCCUGCAAGAGGCAUAGUGUCCUCAAGCAUUGAGACACCCUCCCACCCUCUUCUUCAUUUUGAGACUGGGUCUCACUAUGUAGCCCAGGCAGUCUUCUUGCCUCGUCUCCUUAAAACUAGAUUUUUAAACAAUAAUUUAUUUCAUGUGCAUUGGCAUUUUGCCUGAAUGUGUCUGUAUGAGGGUGUCAGAUCCCUUGGAACCAGAGGUAUAGACACUUGUGAACUGCCAUUUAGAUGCUGGGAACUGAACUCAGGACCUCUGGAAGAGCAGACAGUGCUAUUAAUUCCUGAGCAUGAGCCAUCUCUCCAACCCUAAAACUAUAUAUUUAUAUUUUUAUUAUUUUUUUUUUUUUACAAAAUAUCCUCCUAGAUUAGCCAGAGGGUUUGUUAAUAGUAGUACUGUUGCCAGUCCUGGUGGCAAGGUCCUUAAUCCUAACACUUAGGGGACAGAGGCAGGACUAUCUCUGUGAGCUCUAGAACAGUCAUAGCUAUAUAGAGACAACCCUGUCUUUAAAAAAAAAAAAAAAAUCUGUCCAUCAGAAAACUCAGCAGGUAAAGGUGGCUUGCCACCAAACCCCAAACCUUACACACGGUAGGAGGAGAGAAGCCCCCACAGGAAUGCAGUGACACCCACCCACCCUGGGAAAUGAUCGGGAAGCAACAAAACACGGAGAUGAGUGGGCUGAGGAAUCCCUGCCUUGGGGCUUUCUGCUUUCUAUUGCUAGUGCAAAUGCUGUGGAUAACAAGGCAAGGGACAAGCAAGGAUUUUUGCAUAGCCCCAAAUCGAGAGUUUCUUUUUCUCAGUGCUUUGCAUUUUUUGCUGGCAACACAUCAGGAAACACUGGUGAAGUUGUUUUCCCGUUUCCAUCUGUGUUACAAAAUACUUAAGGGGGAUUUCUUCAUGAACCUGUAUCGUUGUAAGUUUCCAUAGAAGGGAAGAACAAAACAAAGAAGAGCUGACAGAAAGAUAAUCUAAUCUUCUGAUUUUUAAAAAAGAAGCUUAGGUCAGGGAUAGAAAGAUGACUCAGCACCAAAGAGUGAUUUACUGUUCUUUCAGAAAUCUAAGAUGGAUUCCAGCACUAGUGUAUGGCUCACAGUCAACCACCUGUAAGUCUAACUCUUCAGGUAUCCCAGGCCUCUGGCAUCUAAGAGCAUCUGCAUUCUCCUGCACAAACACAAAGAGGAAAAGCACACACACACACACACACACACACACACACACACACACACACACACAAUUAGAAAUAAAAACAGAGAUGAGCAUGGUGGUGCACACUUUUAAUAUCAGCACUCAGGAGGCAGAGGCAGGUGAAUCUCUGUAAAUUCAAGUAGGUUCCAUUGACAGCUGGGGCUACAUAGAAAGAGCCUGUCUCACACACACACACACACACACACACACACAAUUUUUUUUUAAAUUACAACAUAAAAAUAAAACUUUAAAAAAUGCUUAGUAAUGGCUAGGUAUGGUUGUACACACCAUUAAUCACAGCACUUGGGAGGCAGGGGCCAGCGGGUCUCUGUGAGUUGGAAUCCAGUCUACAUAUUGAGUUCUACAACAGCCAAGGUAAAAUAGUAAAACCCUGUCUCAAAAUAAUAUUAAUAACAACAACAAUGACAACAGUAAUUGAUACUCAUGGCAAAAGGGUAACCAGAAGGCUUCUAGGCCCUAACUCCAUGAUAGAGCACUUAUCUAUGAUGCACCGCCCAUCCCCAUCCCUGCAAAUCACAUUAAUGUAGGUUGCGUUUUAACUGUGAAAAUGGAUCAAGUGCAUCUCAUUUGAAUAUUAAAGAGAACUCCAGGAAGGUGACAGUAAAACUGAGCCAUUUGCAGAGGCGAAUUAAAAUAGAUUUGCUUUUAAUCAACUCCUAUUUUCACACUGUGAAGAGCUGCUGUAUUUAGCAUGCUAGACAUGCUCACAGAGUUCAGUCAUGCGGAAUGGCGGCUGAGAUGGGGAAAGCUGCUGAGCGCCAGGCUCAGGCUUUGAGCAGUAACCUCGUCUCUGGAGUGGGUAAUUAAUAUACCUAUUUAGGCAGGAGGACAGAGUAGUCACCAGAUACUUCACGACAAAUUGAUACAAAAAGAAAUAGUUACAAAUACUGGGAGACAGGUACUUAAAAUAUAUGCAUUUCGUCUAAAAGCCACCAUAUAAAAAUAUGUAAACAAGCUCUAAAAUGACCCAGCCCAAAGCACAUGAGAACUGGACAAUAGCAAUUUCAGACAAGCCUGUUCUAAUCAGAGUCUUUGUUUUUCCAAAAAAUGAAACAAAAUAAAAUGCUCAAAAGUAUUUGACUACUUGAUGUAUCUGAGAGUCUAAUGGUAAGAGAGAGAGAGAGAGAGAGAGAGAGCAAUCUAAUACCAAACUAGCACACAGUGUGAGGAAAUUAUCUUCAUAGAUUAUCAGAACCCCCAAGUUGAAUAUUGUCUACCUAGACCUAGAGACUCUAACAAGAACUAAUACUUCAUAGUCUAAUGUUCUAAGAGAGUUAAAUAAUGUAUUCUCUGUUGGUUUUAGUUUUCCAGAAAAACAGAAUAACUUAAUAAUUUCUUAGAGGAUUGAUUCCUAACUUUCUAGCCUUUUUCAUCUGAGAGCAGUUGUUGGGAAGAUUUCUCCGGGUACAAGUGCUGCUGCUCUGUCUAAUAUCCAGAGUUAUUAACUAAUAUUUGUAGAAUUAUACUGAAAAGACACUGGAGGGAUACUUAUAAAUGUAAAUCAUGGUUGUUGUUUCAGGUAACAGAAUCUGAAUUUUCUUGUUUCUUCUGGAAUAGCUUCCCGUGACUCAGGAUAGCCAAAAGUUUCCAUGGAGUCCGGGAUGGCCUCUGUUUCUCAAGUGUGGGGAUCACAGGAGUGAGCCACUUUAAUCAGUGAGGAUGUGGAUU
rnacentral:lncRNA from 1 species